CCUACGGGUGGCUGCAGUGGGGAAUAUUGCACAAUGGGCGCAAGCCUGAUGCAGCCAUGCCGCGUGUGUGAAGAAGGCCUUCGGGUUGUAAAGCACUUUCAGCGGGGAGGAAGGCGGUGAGGUUAAUAACCUCAUCGAUUGACGUUACCCGCAGAAGAAGCACCGGCUAACUCCGUGCCAGCGGCCGCGGUAAUACGGAGGGUGCAAGCGUUAAUCGGAAUUACUGGGCGUAAAGCGCACGCAGGCGGUCUGUCAAGUCGGAUGUGAAAUCCCCGGGCUCAACCUGGGAACUGCAUUCGAAACUGGCAGGCUAGAGUCUUGUAGAGGGGGGUAGAAUUCCAGGUGUAGCGGUGAAAUGCGUAGAGAUCUGGAGGAAUACCGGUGGCGAAGGCGGCCCCCUGGACAAAGACUGACGCUCAGGUGCGAAAGCGUGGGGAGCAAACAGGAUUAGAUACCCGUGUAGUC
rnacentral:rRNA from 1 species